rnacentral:misc_RNA from 1 species
GAUGAAGAACGCAGCGAAAUGCGAUAAGUAGUGUGAAUUGCAGAAUUCAGUGAAUCAUCGAAUCUUUGAACGCACAUUGCGCCCUUUGGUAUUCCUUAGGGCAUGCCUGUUCGAGCGUCAUUUAAACCUUCAAGCUAAGCUUGGUGUUGGGUGACUGUCCGCUUCACGGCGGACUCGCCUCAAAAUUAUUGGCGGCCGGUACAUUGGCUUCGAGCGCAGCAGAAACGCGAACUCGGGCCCGUCGUAUUGGCUCCCAGAAGCUAUCCUCACAAUUUUGACCUCGGAUCAGGUAGGGAUACCCGCUGAACUUAAGCAUAUCAAUAAGCGGAGGA